rnacentral:rRNA from 1 species
GACGAACGCUGGCGGCGUGCUUAACACAUGCAAGUGGAGCGACGAACCAGGGCUUGCCCUGGGGCAGAGCCGCGAACGGGUGAGUAACACGUGGGUUACCUACCCCGAUGACCGGGACAACCCGAGGAAACUCGGGCUAAUACCGGAUGUGGUCUUCGGACGAAAGGAAGCUUCGGCCUCCGCAUCGGGAUGGGCCCGCGGCGCAUUAGCUUGUUGGUGGGGUAAUGGCCUACCAAGGCGACGAUGCGUAGCUGGUCUGAGAGGACGAUCAGCCACACUGGGACUGAGACAAGGCCCAGACUCCUACGGGAGGCAGCAGUGGGGAAUCUUGCGCAAUGCGCGAAAGCGUGACGCAGCAACGCCGCGUGGGGGAAGAAGGCCUUCGGGUUGUAAACCUCUUUCAGUUGGGACGAAGCUCCGCCGGUGAAUAGCCGGUUGGAGUGACGGUACCUUCAGAAGAAGCCCCGGCUAACUACGUGCCAGCCGCCGCGGUAAGAC